GCAAAUUUUUAAAAAGAUACUUACAUGCUCAUCUAUCAGCAACAUCUCAACACUCGUCAAAGCUCCCCUUUGUUGAUAUUUUUGGCAUCCAAGAACCUCAACAAACGGACCUCCGCGGUAUAAGAGCAUCGUCCGGCUCUCAAAUUGGCGAGGACAGUGUAUGAAUUCGCCAUUGGAAUCGUUUAUUUGGAAAUUGUUUGUUUUUGGAUUUUGCGUGAGUUGAACUUUGCAUGCUAGGAAGCUCUGAUAUUUGUAGAUGUAGAUUUAGGGCCGGGGGUUACAGUGAAAACGAAGAGGUAUAUUGAAAUCUUAACGUGGGAGUUGUGGACUAAUGAAGAGAAAACCUAAAUUAAAUGACGGAUUAAAGAAUCUGUGAAACGUUACG
rnacentral:lncRNA from 1 species